rnacentral:rRNA from 1 species
UACGAAGGGGGCUAGCGUUGCUCGGAAUCACUGGGCGUAAAGCGCACGUAGGCGGCUUUUUAAGUCAGGGGUGAAAUCCUGGAGCUCAACUCCGGAACUGCCUUUGAUACUGAGAAGCUUGAGUCCGGAAGAGGUGAGUGGAACUCCGAGUGUAGAGGUGAAAUUCGUAGAUAUUCGGAAGAACACCAGUGGCGAAGGCGGCUCACUGGUCCGGUACUGACGCUGAGGUGCGAAAGCGUGGGGAGCAAACAGG